AGACAGAGACAGAGACAGACAGAGAGACAGACAGAGACAGAGAAGAGGACCAAGAGGAAGGAAGAGAAGAGGUGGCCAUGAGGCAGAAGGUCCAGGAGGAGUCAUGAGGAGCACAUCACCAAGUAAUCCACCAUGUGGACACACAUGGAGCAGAGCAAGCCAGGGUGAGACUCAAACUGCAACUAGCACGGAGCCUGUGGCUGGAAGAAACUGAAUCCUGAACUUUCUUUGGACACCAGGUAGUUUGAGUGGCUCACGGCAUCGUGCACUCUGUUCUCUUGGACCCCUGCGGUUGCCUCAGCCAUGGAUCACCGUAUAACACCUUGGACAGACUUACCCCAUCCGAAGAGCACAAAUGCCUGCAGGCACUUCCUUUCUGAGAAGAAGGAGAU